GACGAACGCUGGCGGCGUGCCUAACACAUGCAAGUCGAGCGGGGACUUAAGUGGAAGUUCUUCGGAAUGGAGAUUUAAAUUCUAGCGGCGGACGGGUGAGUAACGCGCGAACAGUCUGUGGCGGACAGGGGGAUAACACUUGGAAACAGGUGCUAAUACCGCAUAAGACCACGGCCUCGCAUGGGGCUGAGGUAAAUGGAGUAAUCCGGUUCGGGGUGAGCUCGCGUCCGAUGAGCUGGUUGGUGAGGUAACGGCCCACCAAGGCGACGAUGGGUAGCCGGCCUGAGGUGAGGAACGGCCACAAUGGAGCGGAGAGACGGUCCACACGACUACGGCAGGAAGCAGUGGGGAAUAAUGGGGAAUGGGCGAAAGCAUGACGAAGCAGCGCCGCGUGAGGGAAGAAGGUUUUCGGAGUGUAAGCCUCUGUCCUAUGGGACGAAGGAAGUGACGGUACCAGAGGAAGAAGCCCCGGCUAACUACGUG
rnacentral:rRNA from 1 species